rnacentral:lncRNA from 7 species
GAUUAGGAGGCCUCACAGUAACACCAGUGCACUGAUUCAGCUACCAGUGCUGUGUUCUUGAGGUUCGGUCUCUUCUGCCCCAGGGUGAGAAAGCCACGACAUGCAAGAUCAAGUCCUUCGCUUAACACCUGCUUAGAAAGAUUCCUGGCCUCUAGGAUGAAGCCCUGUCCCGUUCUGAGAUCCAUCCACGAUCCUGCUCCACAGAGUUCCCCAGCUAGUGUCCACAGCUAGUGUCAGCGCAGUCUACAUAACCCAGUGUUAAUCUGCAUUGAUUAAAAAACUGAAUUUGUUGACAAUGUUGCAACCUUAUACCACUUCACUAGCUAUGGUCAGAACACUGGGUCCAGACAUUUUAUCUCCAUGACAACCGUUUGAUGAGGGGAGAAACCAGGGAGCCUGGGAUACUUUGUUACAGCAGGCUUUCUGCUGGCAUUUCCAGUCUU